rnacentral:rRNA from 1 species
AGAUUGAACGCUGGCGGCAUGCCUUACACAUGCAAGUCGAACGGCAGCACGGGAGCAAUCCUGGUGGCGAGUGGCGAACGGGUGAGUAAUAUAUCGGAACGUGCCCAGUCGUGGGGGAUAACGUAGAGAAAUUUACGCUAAUACCGCAUACGAUCCAAGGAUGAAAGCGGGGGACCGUAAGGCCUCGCGCGACUGGAGCGGCUGAUAUCAGAUUAGCUCGUUGGUGAGGUAAAAGCUCACCAAGGCGACGAUCUGUAGCUGGUUUGAGAGAACGACCAGCCACACUGGGACUGAGACACGGCCCAGACUCCUACGGGAGGCAGCAGUGGGGAAUUUUGGACAAGU